AUUGAACGCUGGCGGCAGGCCUAACACAUGCAAGUCGAACGAGGGGCGGACGGGUGUGUAAUGUCUGGGCAACUGCCUGAUGGAGGGGGAUCACUACUGGAAACGGUAGCUAAUACCGCUAACCAUCGGAUGUGUCCAGAUGGGUUUAGCUAGUAGGUGGGGGAAAGGCUCACCUAGGCGACGAUCCCUAGCUGGUCUGAGAGGAUGACCAGCCACACUGGAACUGAGACACGGUCCAGACUCCUACGGGAGGCAGCAGUGGGGAAUAUUGCACAAUGGGCGCAAGCCUGAUGCAGCCAUGCCGCGUGUAUGAAGAAGGCCUUCGGGUUGUAAAGUACUUUCAGCGGGGAGGCGUUACCCACAGAAGAAGCACCGGCUAACUCCGUGCCAGCAGCCGCGGUAAUAC
rnacentral:rRNA from 1 species